CAGCCGCCGCGGGAAAACGUAGGGUGCAAGCGUUGAUCGGAAUUACUGGGCGUAAAGCGUGCGCAGGCGGUUCGCUAAGACAGAUGUGAAAUCCCCGGGCUUAACCUGGGAACUGCAUUUGUGACUGGCGGGCUAGAGUAUGACAGAGGGGGGUAGAAUUCCACGUGUAGCAGUGAAAUGCGUAGAGAUGUGGAGGAAUACCGAUGGCGAAGGCAGCCCCCUGGGCCAAUACUGACGCUCAUGCACGAGAGCGUGGGGAGCAAACAGGAUUAGAUACCCGAGUAGUCCCUGUCUCUUAUAC
rnacentral:rRNA from 1 species